rnacentral:misc_RNA from 1 species
GAUGAAGAACGUAGCGAAAUGCGAUAAGUAAUGUGAAUUGCAGAAUUCAGUGAAUCAUCGAAUCUUUGAACGCACAUUGCGCCCGGUAGUAUUCUGCCGGGCAUGCCUGUUCGAGCGUCAUUUCAACCAUCAAGCCCCCGGCUUGUGUUGGGGACCUGCGGCUGCCGCAGGCCCUGAAAAGCAGUGGCGGGCUCGCUGUCACACCGAGCGUAGUAGAUUUCAUCUCGCUCAGGGCGUGCUGCGGGUUCCGGCCGUUAAACCACCUUCAUAACCCAAGGUUGACCUCGGAUCAGGUAGGAAGACCCGCUGAACUUAAGCAUAUCAAUAAGCGGAGGA